GACGUAGGGUGCAAGCGUUGUCCGGAAUUACUGGGCGUAAAGCGCGCGUAGGCGGCUUUGUAAGUUAGAGGUGAAAGCCCGGGGCUCAACUCCGGAACUGCCUUUAAGACUGCAUCGCUUGAAUCCGGGAGAGGUGAGUGGAAUUCCGAGUGUAGAGGUGAAAUUCGUAGAUAUUCGGAAGAACACCAGUGGCGAAGGCGGCUCACUGGACCGGUAUUGACGCUGAGGUGCGAAAGCGUGGGGAGCAAACAGG
rnacentral:rRNA from 1 species